rnacentral:lncRNA from 1 species
UCAAGGCAGUGACCCGCGUGCCCUUGGGCGGGGCUGGGCCAGAGCACUCGGGCCGGAGCUGCACCGGAGGCCCAAGACAGAGAGCGCGCGGCGCGGAGGACAAGGUGGGCCCACGGGUCGGCGGCUCAGGGUAGGGAGCGCAGCCAGGUCAGCCCUGCCCGGCCCUGCACCGCCGGUGGCCGCUGCUUCCCACCCUUCCCACCGUUCGGCUGGAGGCCGGAGCAGGGCGGCGCACUCCCGCCCCUCGGACUCCCGAAAGCACCGCGCGCCCUUGCCCCGCAACGCCUUCCCCCGGGCCGCGGCGGGGCGCCCUGGCGCCGAGCGUCCACCAGAGGGCACCCGCGGGCCGCACAGCCCGCCGCUCCCGACCUCGCUGGCCGCGCCUGCGCAAACCCGAGCUUCCGGCUCCCGCCAGCCAUGAGCUCCGGGCCUAUGGGCCACGGGAACCAGGACUGGGUCCGGGGGGAUCCGGGGCGUCCGGCCUGGCGGCCUUCCUCUUAGGUCCCCAGCACGCGAGUGAGACUUUCCUCCAAAGAUAUGGAAACGGCCAGGCUAGAGAGACGAAUGCUCCUGUGUUUUCACAUUUCCGAAGAAUGUGCCAGGGCUUCAGCGCCGGCCUGCUGGCUGCAAGCUUGGCCUCUGUCACUGCUGAGCCUGGCCUGCGAGAUGUAACCCCUGGGGCCCAGAAGUGCUCACCUGGUACCGGUGGGAAGAGUGUUUCCAAAAGGCAGCUCGCUACUCCGGACUUCCUGGCCAGUGGGAAGCAGAGUGAGUCAGAGUGGAGACCCCACGGCCUGGGCCCAGGUCCUGCUGCCCUUGAGGCUGACUUCCCCAGAUGGUGCAGGGUGUGGCCCCCAGCGCUCCCUGCAGGGCAGGUGACAGUCACAGCAGAGCGUCCUGAGGCUCUGCUCCGAGUCCCCCCACCCUCCCCACCUGAGGCAUAG